rnacentral:rRNA from 1 species
GAAAGAUGGUGAACUAUGCCUGGCGAGGACAAAGUCAGGGGAAACCCUGUUGGAGGUCCGUAGCGAUUCUGACGUGCAAAUCGAUCGUCGGAGCUGGGUAUAGGGGCGAAAGACUAAUCGAACCAUCUAGUAGCUGGUUCCCUCCGAAGUUUCCCUCAG